rnacentral:lncRNA from 1 species
AAAUGAAUACAGUCGAUUCAGACGUCUACAAUAAGACCUACCUUAAACUUCAAAAGGAAAUGGAGGAGGCGGACGUCUACAAUAAGACCUACAAUAAACUUCAGAAGGAAAUUGAGGAGGCAGACGUCUACAAUAAGACCUACAAUAAACUUAAGAAGGAAAUAGAGGAGGCGGACGUCUACAAUAAGACCUACGAUAAACUUCAGAAGGAAAUGGAGGAGGCAGACGUCUACAAUAAGACCUACAAUAAACUUCAGAGGGAGAUGGAGGAGGCGGACGUCUACAAUAAGACUUUGUUUCGGCUCCAGAAAGAAACAGAGGAGGCAGACGUCUACAACAAGACAUUGCUUCGGCUCCAGAAGGAAGCACAGGACGCGGACGUCUACAAUA